GAGUUUGAUCCUGGCUCAGGACGAACGCUGGCGGCGUGCCUAAGACAUGCAAGUCGAGCGGAGCACCUUCGGGUGCUUAGCGGCGGACGGGUGAGUAACACGUGGAUAACCUGCCUGACGAUCUGGGAUAACAGACCGAAAGGUCUGCUAAUACCGGAUAAGCUCACGGAGGCGCAUGCUUCCGGGAGAAAAGGCGCUCUAAAGGCGCUGUGGUCAGAGGGGUCCGCGGCCCAUUAGCUAGUUGGAGGGGUAACGGCCCACCAAGGCGACGAUGGGUAGCCGGCCUGAGAGGGCGAUCGGCCACACUGGGACUGAGACACGGCCCAGACUCCUACGGGAGGCAGCAGUCGGGAAUUUUGCACAAUGGCCGAAAGGCUGAUGCAGCAACGCCGCGUGAGUGAAGAAGGCCUUCGGGUUGUAAAGCUCUGUUGCCCGUGACGAAGUGCGCUUUCAGGAAAUGGGAAGCGUUUGACGGUAGCGGGAGAGGAAGCCCCGGCUAACUACGUGCCAGCAGCCGCGGUAAUACGUAGGGGGCGAGCGUUGUCCGGAUUUAUUGGGCGUAAAGGGCGUGUAGGCGGUCUGUUAAGUCGGGGGUGAAAACCCGGGGCUCAACCCCGGGCCUGCCCCCGAAACUGAUGGACUUGAGUACUCUAGAGGGCAGUGGAAUUCCCGGUGUAGCAGUGAAAUGCGUAGAGAUCGGGAGGAACACCAGUGGCGAAGGCGACUGCCUGGGGAGAAACUGACGCUGAGGCGCGAAAGCUGGGGGAGCAAACGGGAUUAGAUACCCCGGUAGUCCCAGCCGUAAACGAUGAGUGCUAGGUGUAGCGGGUAUCGACCCCUGCUGUGCCGCAGUAAACGCAAUAAGCACUCCGCCUGGGGGAGUACGGCCGC
rnacentral:rRNA from 1 species